rnacentral:misc_RNA from 1 species
AUAAGAGCUGCACAGCUUUGGGGCCUCAGGGAAAAGGCUAGAAUCUUUGUUCCCUCGGGUAGAUGGUUGAUGGGCUGCUUGGACGAGCUAGGGGUGCUUGAGCAAGGUCAGUGCUUUAUCCAAGUGUCUAACCCAUCUUUGGAAAACUGUUUCUCCAAGCAUGGCUCAAGGUUUAGUGAGACGAAGAAACAUCUACAAGUAAUCAAGGGGACUGUGGUGAUAGCUAAGAAUCCUUGUCU